rfam:Ascaris suum AG00126, whole genome shotgun sequence.
GUCCGUCUGGCCGAGUGGUCUAAGGCGCUGCGUUCGGGUCGCAGUCUACUUCGGUAGGCGCACGUUCGAAUCCUGCGGCGGACA